rnacentral:rRNA from 1 species
UACGUAGGGGGCAAGCGUUGUCCGGAAUCAUUGGGCGUAAAGCGCGCGUAGGCGGCCUCGUAAGUCCGCUGUGAAAGUCAAAGGCUCAACCUUUGAAUGCCGGUGGAUACUGCGAGGCUAGAGUCCGGAAGAGGCGAGUGGAACUCCUGGUGUAGCGGUGGAAUGCGCAGAUAUCAGGAAGAACACCAACGGCGAAGGCAGCUCGCUAGGACGGUACCGACGCUAAGGCGCGAAAGCGUGGGGAGCAAACAGG